rnacentral:pre_miRNA from 1 species
UUUUAUGGACGAACAAAGAAAGUAGUUUCUUGAGAUAGAAUCUACUUCUGGUGAAGAUGCUGUGAA